GCCUCGGUGGCGUGUAUUGGUAGCACGCGCCCCUGGUAUGGAAGAAACGCGGGUUCAACUUCCGCUUGAGGUC